rnacentral:rRNA from 1 species
CCUACGGGAUGCAGCAGUAGGGAAUUUUCGGCAAUGGAGGCAACCCUGACCGAGCAACGCCGCGUGAACGAAGAAGUUAUUAUGAAUGUAAAGUUGUUGUAACAGGGAGGAAAACGAAGUUUGACGGUACCUGCAGAAUAAGCUCCGGCUACCUACGUGCCAUCAGCCGCGGUAAUACGGAGGGAGCGAACUUAAUCCUGAUGUAUUGGGUGAAAAGGUUGGGUAUAGGGCAGAGUAAGUCUUUUGUAAAAAUGGUGGGCUAAACCCAGGAGGGCAAAAGAUACUGUAAAGCUAGAGUAUGAUAGAGGUAAGCGGAAUUACUGGUGUAGCGGUAAAAUGCGUAAAUAUAGGUAAGAACACCAGUGGCGAAGGCGGCUUGCUGGGUUGCUACUGACAUUGAGGCACGAAAGCGUGGGGAGCAAACAGGAUUAGAUACCCUGGUAGUC